AGCACUGAGCCAUACGGGACCUUUUCCUGCCAUCUUUAAACAAACAGCGAUGUUGGGUUUCCUGGUAGUUUUAUUCUCUAUCUUGGCAGUUGGUCGGUGUUUACAGUCAACGCAGCAGACAUGAGGUGUCAUCAGGGCAGAGUACACUUCUGCCCUUGACUUGGGACUUGGGCAUGGAACUUGCUUUGGGGAACGACAUACUACAGAGGCAGAGGUUAUCACGGGCCUCCCAAGCUUCCUCUCCGCUUACCACAGCCAACGCCUGGCUGGCCUUCGGGUCCCAAGAGACGUGAGAGAUAAGAGCAGACAACGCAGAUGGAAACAACGAUGCCCAGUUUGGACUCCAGCCAAUGUCACAUAGGAAGAAACAGGCAAAGAAGACGAGGAGCAAGCACAAAGUGAAUCUUCUUAGG